rnacentral:rRNA from 1 species
AUUGAACGCUGGCGGCAGGCCUAACACAUGCAAGUCGAGCGGAAGAAGGGAAAUUGCUCCUGGAUUCAGCGGCGGACGGGCGAGCAAUGCAUAGGAAUCUCGCUGGUAGUGUGGGAGAACGUCCGGAAGCGGGCGCAAAUACCGCAUACGCCCUGAGGGAGAAAGUGUGGGAUCUUCGGACCUCACGCUAUUGGAUGAGCCUAGGUCGGAUUAGCUAGUUGGCGGGGUAAAGGCCUACCAAGGCGACGAUCCGUAACUGGUCUGAGAGGAUGAUCAGUCACACUGGAACUGAGACACGGUCCAGACUCCUACGGGAGGCAGCAGUGGGGAAUAUUGGACAAUGGGCGCAAGCCUGAUCCAGCCAUACCGCGUGUGUGAAGAAGGUCUUCGGAUUGUAAAGCCCUUUAGGUUGGAAGGAAGGGCAGUAAGUUAAUACCUUGCUGUUUUGACGUUACCAACAGAAUAAGCACCGGCUAACUUCGUG